UUGAAAUGUGAAUGAAUGGAAUGCUUACUAAA
rnacentral:piRNA from 1 species